UGGGGUGUCGCCAAGAGGUUAAGGCACGGGACUUUGACUCCCGCACUGUAGGUUCAAAUCCUGCCACCCCAGCCA
rnacentral:tRNA from 1 species